GAUGUCAACUAGCCGUUGGGACUCUUGAAGUCUUAGUGGCGCAGCUAACGCACUAAGUUGACCGCCUGGGGAGUACGGCCGCAAGGUUAAAACUCAAAUGAAUUGACGGGGGCCCGCACAAGCGGUGGAGCAUGUGGUUUAAUUCGACGCAACGCGAAGAACCUUACCUGGCCUUGACAUCCAGAGAACUUUCCAGAGAUGGAUUGGUGCCUUCGGGAACUCUGUGACAGGUGCUGCAUGGCCGUCGUCAGCUCGUGUCGUGAGAUGUUGGGUUAAGUCCCGUAACGAGCGCAACCCCUAUCCCUGGUUGCUAGCAGGUAAUGCUGAGAACUCCAGGGAGACUGCCGGUGACAAACCGGAGGAAGGUGGGGAUGACGUCAGGUCAUCAUGGCCCUUACGGCCAGGGCUACACACGUGCUACAAUGGCGCGUACAGAGGGCUGCGAACUCGCGAGAGUAAGCCAAUCCCUUAAAACGCGUCGUAGUCCGGAUCGGAGUCUGCAACUCGACUCCGUGAAGUCGGAAUCGCUAGUAAUCGCGAAUCAGAAUGUCGCGGUGAAUACGUUCCCGGGCCUUGUACACACCGCCCGUCACACCAUGGGAGUGGAUUGCACCAGAAGUGGUUAGUCUAACCUCCGGGAGGACGAUCACCACGGUGUGGUUCAUGACUGGGGUG
rnacentral:rRNA from 1 species